AGUGAACGCUGGCGGUAGGCCUAACACAUGCAAGUCGAACGGCAGCACAGUAAGAGCUUGCUCUUACGGGUGGCGAGUGGCGGACGGGUGAGGAAUACAUCGGAAUCUACUUUUUCGUGGGGGAUAACGUAGGGGAACUUACGCUAAUACCGCAUACGACCUACGGGUGAAAGCAGGGGAUCUUCGGACCUUGCGCGAUUGAAUGGGCCGAUGUCGGAUUAGCUAGUUGGCGGGGUAAAGGCCCACCAAGGCGACGAUCCGUAGCUGGUCUGAGAGGAUGAUCAGCCACACUGGAACUGAGACACGGUCCAGACUCCUACGGGAGGCAGCAGUGGGGAAUAUUGGACAAUGGGCGCAAGCCUGAUCCAGCCAUACCGCGUGGGUGAAGAAGGCCUUCGGGUUGUAAAGCCCUUUUGUUGGGAAAGAAAAGCAGCAGGUUAAUACCCCGCUGUUCUGACGGUACCCAAAGAAUAAGCACCGGCUAACUUCGUG
rnacentral:rRNA from 1 species